rnacentral:tRNA from 1 species
UUUAUAUGUAGCUCAGUGGGGGAGCAACUGCCUAGCAUGCAGGAGGCCCUGGGUUCAAUCCCCAAUAGUGGAG